rnacentral:rRNA from 1 species
AGAGUUUGAUCCUGGCUCAGGAUGAACGCUAGCGACAGGCUUAACACAUGCAAGUCGAGGGGCAGCGAGGGAGUGGCAACACUUCUGUCGGCGACCGGCGCACGGGUGAGUAACGCGUAUGCAACCUGCCCUUCACAGGGGGAUAACCGGGAGAAAUUCCGACUAAUACCGCAUACGUCCUCCGGGGGCAUCCCCGGGGGAUGAAAGAGUUAUCGGUGAAGGAUGGGCAUGCGUGAUAUUAGGUAGUUGGCGGGGCAACGGCCCACCAAGCCCACGAUAUCUAGGGGUUCUGAGAGGAAGGUCCCCCACAUUGGUACUGAGACACGGACCAAACUCCUACGGGAGGCAGCAGUGAGGAAUAUUGGUCAAUGGACGAGAGUCUGAACCAGCCAAGUCGCGUGAAGGAAGACGGAUCUAUGGUUUGUAAACUUCUUUAGUGCGGGAACAAAGCGGCGUCGUGACGCCGGAUGAGUGUACCGCAAGAAUAAGCAUCGGCUAACUCCGUGCCAGCAGCCGCGGUAAUACGGAGGAUGCGAGCGUUAUCCGGAUUUAUUGGGUUUAAAGGGAGCGCAGGCUGCGAGGCAAGUCAGCGGUCAAAUGUCGGGGCUCAACCCCGGCCUGCCGUUGAAACUGUUUUGCUAGAGUUCGAGUGAGGUAUGCGGAAUGCGUUGUGUAGCGGUGAAAUGCAUAGAUAUGACGCAGAACUCCGAUUGCGAAGGCAGCAUACCAACUCGCGACUGACGCUGAGGCUCGAAAGCGUGGGUAUCGAACAGGAUUAGAUACCCUGGUAGUCCACGCAGUAAACGAUGAAUACUAACUGUUCGGAGGGCGACCUCUGAGUGGUAAAGCGAAAGCGUUAAGUAUUCCACCUGGGGAGUACGCCGGCAACGGUGAAACUCAAAGGAAUUGACGGGGGCCCG